GACGAACGCUGGCGGCGUGCUUAAUACAUGCAAGUCUUAGGGGUGCAGGGUCCUUCGGGAGUCUGUAUCACUGGCGCACGGGUGAGUAACACGUAAGUAAUCUGCCUCCGGGUCGGGCAUAACACCGGGAAACCGGUGCUAAUUCCCGAUGACACUGAAAAGUCAAAGGCUUCGGCCGCCCGGAGAUGAGCUUGCGUCCGAUUAGCUAGUUGGCGGGGUAAAGGCCCACCAAGGCGACGANCGGUAGCCGGUCUGAGAGGAUGAUCGGCCACAUUGGGACGUGAGACACGGCCCAGACUCCUACGGGAGGCAGCAGUAAGGGAAUAUUGCGCAAUGGAGGCAACUCUGACGCAGCAACGCCGCGUGU
rnacentral:rRNA from 1 species